rnacentral:lncRNA from 1 species
GUCGACGGCGUGGGUUACUUCGGUGGCGGAGUUCGAUCCACGGUGGAAGGAAAAAGAAGAGUGAGGUUGUUUAGAUCGCAGUCAGCUUGGUAGAUGGCGUUGAAGGGAAUUCGCGGCGGCCAUGGCGGUUAGCCGGAAGUUGUUGAAGGAUGUUAAGGGCGGAGAAUUCGAGACGUACGGUGGAGUGUGUAUGUUAUGGUGGUGUUUGUUGGAAGGUUUGAGUUUAUGAAGAAGAAGAGGAUUUGAAGGAAUUGAGUGGGUAAGGGUGUGACGGCAGUGCGUUUUUUCAAGGGGAAGAAGAAGGUGGAUUUCAGUGUUUUGUGUGUGUGACGUUUGGGAGCAGAAGAAGUAUUCCUCCCUUUUUGUUUUUUUCUGUCCCAUGAGUCCCCUUUUUCUUGAGACAGAGUGGUGAUCCCCACGUGAAGAAGAAAUCUCUUUGUUUCCCCUUUUUCCCCGUUAGCCAGCUGUUCCUCCAUUAAUAAAAUCCCAUUUUUGUUCUUAUCCCAUCUCUCCCAAUAACAUGAUGCCACGUUUCAUGUUGAGAGUAUGGAUAAAAAAUCUUCUCAAAUGCAAGCUGUCAAACGUGUAUCUUUCACAAGUAUACAACUUUAUUUUUAAUUUUUAAUUUUUAAUGUUAAUAUUAAUAUUAUUUGAUUUUUCAUGAUUAAUAUUAUUAUUAAUUGAUUUUUGAUUGGAUAAUGGAAUAUGAUAACGAUUGCAAAUGAGAUCCGUGGAUUAAUUUGUAUCAACGAUCCUGAUUAAUCCAAAGAAGCACAAGCAAUUUUAAAAUGUCCGAUAUGUCCCUUUUAUAUGAUUUUAAUUGAUUUAAAAUAAUUUAAAUCAUCAAAUCAAAUUAAAUUCGCAUCUUUCUAAAUACAUACGAUAAAAAUAAAAUGAGAAUACGAAAAAUUCUAUUUAUUUCUUUUGAACAUUUUGGCGAAAGAAUAAAAAUAAAAUGACUAAAAAUUAAUAAAAGUCGGACGAAAAUUUGUUUAAAAAAUUAAAUCGGACGCACUAAAAUGAUCAGCGCGAAAUAUACUUAUUGAAAAAAUACAUCAUUUCUUUUAAUUUUGAAAUAAAUUUUGACCGAUUGAAAGGCUUAGACGGAUCAAAAUGCGAUUGAAAAAGUCGUCGAAAAAUAUAACGAGCACACCAUGUUAAACUACGCAGACCAUAGAUUAAUAAUACUGGCGUAUGCAAGUUUAAUUUUGAAACUUUUUACACGCUGAUUUUGCACGUACUUGAGAAAUGAUUUAACCAAUUUGUCUAUAUUUUCAAUAAUUUAUUUCGACCGAUAUUUUAAGUAUUAUUCAUGAUGAAAUGCAUGUUAUGCUGUACAACUGAUGCAAAUUAAAAAUGAAAUCAAGUUUAUGAAAAAUUUAAAAUGUCUGGACAAAAUUGGGGUAUGACAGCUGCCCCUAUUUAGUUACCUUGAUCCGGAAAGUAAGAAUUACAGCAGUGUCCGUAAAUUCGUGGUGGAAGGUAAUUAAAUACGAAAAGACCCAAAUUUUGUCCUUUGAAAUGUGAUGGAGAAAUGUAGAAAGAAAAUGUAACGAAUCCUAACGACAUCCAGGGUAUUAGGGGUAGAAUAUCCGAUCAAUGCCAACCCUCGAGUCGACAUUUAAAUCUUGCAAAGGUCGUUAUUGAUAUGAGGACAAACCUGAGCAGGUUUUCUGGCACCAAAAGGAUGACAAUAGAAUUAAUUGCCAUCACCAAAAGGGUGAUAGUAAUUCACCAUGAUUUCCGGGAUCGUCAUCACCAAAAGGAUGAUGGAAUACCAAGCUUCAAAGGUAGUCAUCACCAAAAGGAUGAUGGUUAUCCUGAUAAAGCUUUCCAUUACCGAGGGGGUAAUAUUAAGACUAUCAUCAAAAGGACGAUAGUUAACUCAUCAACUUCAAAGAUCACCGUCACCAAAAGGAUGAAAGUAAGUUCAACGACAAAACUUAUUAUCACCAAAAGGAUGAUGCUAAGUCACGGCAACUUCAUUGGAUCACCAUCACCAAAAGGAUGAAGGUAACAUUAACAACAAAACUUGUUAUCACCAAAAGGAUGAUAAAAAGUCAACAAUCACCAUCACCAAAAGGAUGAAGGUACUACCAAACAACAGAACUUGUUACCACCAAAAGGAUGAUAAUAAGUCAACAAUAUUAAUGAUCACCAGUAUCCAAAGGAUGAAGGUAAGAUCAACAACGAAACUUGUUAUCACCAAAAGGAUGAUAAUAAGUCACAAACUUCAAAUGAUCACCAUCACCAAAAGGGUGAAGGUAAGAUCAAAUAACAGAACUUGUUACCACCAAAAGGAUGAUAACAAGUCAUCAACCACCAUCACCAAAAGGAUGAAGGUAAAAACAAACAACAAAGCUUGUUACCCUCAAAAGGAUGAUAAUAAGUCAACAACUCAAAUAAUCACCAUCACCAAAAGGAUGAAGGUAAGAUUAAUAACAAGACUUGUUACCACCAAAAGGAUGAUAAUGAGUCACAAUCACCAUCACCAAAAGGAUGAAGGUAUUAUUGAACAACAAAACUCGUUAUCACCAAAAUGAUGAUAAUAAGUUACAACAACUUAAAUGAUCACCAUCACCGAAAGGAUGAAGGUAAGAUCAGAACAAAACUUGUUACCACCAAAAGGAUGAUAGUAAGUCGAGACAAACUUUAAUGAUCGCCAUCACCAAAAGGAUGAAGGUAAGAUCAAAUGACAAAACUUAUUACCACCAAAAGGAUGAUAAUAAGUCAAAAACUUCACAUGAUCACCAUCACCAAAAGGAUGAAGGUAUGAUCAACAACAAAACUUGUUACCUCCAAAAGGAUGAUAAUAAGUCACAAACUUCAAAUGAUCACCAUCACCAAAAGGAUGAAGGUAUGAUCAACAACAAAACUUAUUACCACCAAAAGGAUGACAAUAAUCUUUAAUAAUGAGAGGUCUCCAUUCACCAAAAGGAUGAAGGUUGGACCCAAAACUUCAAGGAUCUUCGACACCAAAAGGAUGACGGUAAGAUCACAAAUGUCAAGGGUUUACCAUUACCAAAAGGAUAACGGUUAUCAUAAACAAGGAGAUGAUUAAUAUUAUUCCUCAAUGAACUUUCACCAAAAGAAUGAUAGUGAGAAAAAUAUUUGGAAUAAUAAAGCUACUGACAAAGUUCAAUAAACCCGACUUGUUGGGUAGUAUUAGAACGUUACUGGGUAAGACUUGCUUGGGGUAUCGACAAUAAAAGGUUGCAGAAAAAUAUUCUCUGGAAAACAUAAUUUCCAUCAACAAAAGGUUAAAAGAAACAUCUCAUCGAGGAACGCUCAAUGAGAAACAAGGUAGGGGUUUGAAGAAAAAUUGUUCGACUUAGAUGAGGGUAACACCUUAUUAACAAAAGGUUAGAGGAUGUAAAUCAACGGGGAACACCCAACAAUACAAGGUAAGAACUCACUCAGAGAAAAUAAUAAAUGACUCAACUGAGGGUUGGCCUGGACACCUACGACUAAACCUUGGAUCUUGAUUCGUGCUAUAUGCAUGAAUGUUAUGUAUGCGUUAUGUAUGAGAUGAUGUAUGCAGUGCAUGUUUGAAUGUAAAGGAUGAUUGGUUUGUUUAGAAUUGGUCCCCCCUUUUCAAAGGAGAUGUAUUUUCUGGAAACAAAUACUGGUUGUAUUUGUUUUUGUGUGGGUUCCAACAAGGUGGACUUUGGGUUUUUUGGUAAUUGCCAAUAUGAGUUUGAUUGUUGGUGGGUGAAAGGAUCUGACUUCCCGACACUUGGUAGUUUAUGAUCUGAUGAACACGCAAUGGAUGUGGAUACGCUCGAUGCCCUAAGUUUGAUUUCUUGCUGUUAUGUUGUGUCUUUGCCCCUGAGGGGAACUCGACUUCUUCUUCUGAGAUGUUGGGUCAGCUUGUAACCGAGCAUAGUGACAUGAUCAACGCAUGAUGAUUAUGCUUUUGACGUGCCGCAAGGUUUCUUGUCAAGAUGUGAUAUUGUACCGGUAUGAAGUUUUGACAUUUUGGUUGUGAUCUUAGACAGUUUCUAGUGUCUGACACAAUCUGCCUGACCGACUUGAAGAUAUGAAGUGAAUUUUCCCCUUGCAACUUGUCUUGCCCAGUCUGUAGGGUGUUCAAAGGAAUUAUCCUUGAAAGGAAACCCUUAGGAGUGAUUAUCCCAUGACAUGGUCUGAGUCUGUUUCCUCCAACGUUUGUCUCUUGUGGUGGGAUAAACACAGAAAUGGAUAACAAAUGGUUUUGAACUCGGCAUUCAUGUCGUGUGAUUUUCUCUCUUCUUCUUUUUUUCUCGUGCAUAACUCAUAGCUUUGGGGGUUUAUCCACUUUUGGCUCUUUUCAACUCAAUUCUUUGUGAGCAUUUUAAAGGUGUUAGAGUCUUAAGUCUCGGCAAGUGCAUUUUCUUUUUUUUUUUUUCUUUUUGGACAUACACAUGUCUCUACUUUUUGUAUUGCUUUUAGAUCUCUUAUUAUGCACUUGCCCUUUCUUUCAAGAUUACCACCCCAAACUUAGCUUUUUGCACAUCUUGUAACUCACAACAAUCAUGCCGAGUGAUGGGAUGAAAUGAACGAUUAAUGGUCAACAUGGGGUUUAUUACGAACAAAAUGGCUAAGGCUCAACGGGGUUCACGAAGGGUAAACAUAUAAACAUGGAUGGCUAGAAAGGCUCUGGAUUAAACAAACAACUUGCCUCAGUGCGUGUUGUCAUGCUGUGAAGUGUCAAAAGAACAUACGCAAAAUCAGAGUGAUAGAGUCAUACCUGGCUGAACUCUCAUGAUAUUUAGUGUUUGGCCUUUUUAUUCUCACCAUGUUGGUUAAACUUACAAGCUCUGAAGCCUCCUAGUGUCAUGUGGUUUCUUUUCUGAUUCGGUUCUACCAUACCGCUCUCUUGGUCCAGUGUCACCAAAUUGUGUCCGACUUUUACUUUCUCAUGGUUGCAUCAACUUCCGGGGUACCUUAAUAGAACAAGUAUGAGGGGUGUCUUUCAUCCACUACAACCGAUCCCGGAUUCGUCCACAAUUUCUCAUCACUCUGUACACACCGAUAAACAAUAAAAACAAACGUUGAAGGAAAACAUGAACAAAAUGAAAACGAAAUAAAACAUGAAAGGAAAACCCCUCCCCCCCCCCACACCUGAACUAAACAUUGACCUCAAUGUUUAAAUCCAGAUACAAAGGGGACUCACAGCGACUACUGUUGUUUUACUGCACUUGUGUGGUUUCCUUCCAUUUUGAGGUGUUUGUGACUUUAUUAAAUCCAGAUACAAAGGGGACUCACAGCGACUACUGUUGUUUUACUGCACUUGUGUGGUUUCCUUCCAUUUUGAGGUGUUUGUGACUUUGCCCUUCUAAUUCUCCUCCUCCCCUACAACAAAAUUCUAGCACACAAAAAGAAAAAGAAAAACGAAAUAAAUUAGAAAUCAAACGCGUGGGUUGCCUCCCACGAAGCGCUUCCUUUAACGUCGCAUGGCUCGACGGUUCAUUUCCCUUAUCAUGGGGGGUAUUUCAGGUUCAAAACCUUGUUGCACCUCUUGUCUCUAACUCGGACGUUGUCUCUUUUAUCAGUGUUGACUCCUUUGCACCACGUUCCUUUUUAACCUUCCUUUCGAUGUUAGGAAUCUUCCCGUUUAGGGUGGCUACUGGCAGUGGUGAGACUUUGAUAGUAUUCAAUGUCCUGAUUAAGCCUACUUGAUACUGAGAUUUUGUAUCUUCCUCCAUAUCCUGGUCUUCAAUAGCUUUCAAUGUUAUUUCCUUGUUGUGAACUUUCAAGGUUAACGUGCACUCAUCCAUGUCGAGCUCGCAUCGACUCGUCUUCAUGAAAGGUCUACCCAGAAUGAUGGGUGCCUCAUUGUCUUCAGGUAUGUCUAGGAUUACAAAAUCGACUGGGAAAGUCAAGUCCGCUAUUGUUACCAACACAUCUUCAACCAUACCAUACGCAUCUUUUCUUGAGUGAUCCGCAAACUUCAGAUUGGUCUUUAUAUCACUGAUAUUUCUAAUACCCAGCCUGUGAUAGAUCGAUAAUGGCAUCAGAUUCAUACUAGCUCCAUAACCUAUUAGUACCUUUUUGAAGGUUCUUUCUUUGAUUGUGCAUGGUACUGUGACGGUUCCUGGAUCCUUUUAUUUGUUAGGAAUGUUCUGCUCCAGGGAGUUUGCAUUAUAUUGUUCCUUACCGGAUACCUGUUCUUCAGUGGUUGGUUUCUUUUCAGCCAUUACCUCUUCCACGAAUUUCUUGUACAUGGGCAUCCUUUCAAGUGGUUCAAACAAAGCCAUAUGACCCUCAAUCCUUUUAAACAUUGUCAUGAAUUUCUCCAAGUCUGACUCACUAGGUUCCUUCUUUGUCAUUCUCUGAGGGUAGGCAACUUAAUCACCGGUUUAGUUCCUUUUGUAGUUUCUUCUUGAGUCGGCUCUCUCGGUGAUGUAAUUUUUUCUUUUUAGCAGCCUUUUUCUCUGUCGUCGUGACAGUAUUAAACAUCUCUGACCUCUCGGAUUUUGAACUGUUUCACUUGGUAGGGAACCUGGUGUUCGAGAACUUGCCAGUUGCUGGGCUAUCUGCCCCAGCUGAACUUCGAGAUUCUUUAGGGAUGCGGCGAUGUUUUUCUGAUUGUUUCUAGUCUCUUCUUCAAAUUGCCCAUUUUGAGCUGCCGUCUUUUCAAUUGCAAUCUCCCAAUCUGCCUUCUUUGGGACUUGAUUUUGCUGUUGCUGAUAUUGGUUUUGAUAUUGGCCUUGUACUUGCUGUUGCACAUUCCCUUUCUGAUCCCUCCAUGCAAAGUUUGGAUGAUUCUUCCACCCCGGGUUGUAUGUGUUGGAGUAGGGAUUGUUUUGCUUUAAAAACUUGAUAUCUUCUAUCUGUUGCGGUGUUGCAAAGCAAUGAACAGUAUUGUGUGGUCCAUUACAAAUGCCACACACAUCGUUAGGUGCCUGUUGUACUUGAGCCACUUUCUGCGCACCUAUGUUUAGUGCCUUCAACCUUUUCUCCACCUCUGCAACAACUGCUUCUUCAAUUUUUACCUGUUUGUUUAUUUUAAGCUUCAAAUCAAUUACUGCAGAUUUGCUUGACACCCUAUCAUACAACUCCAGAUGCUCAUUUGAGGAAAUUGCUUCAAUUAUCUUCUUCAUACCGGUGGCUGUUGCAAAGUUAGCUGAGCCACCAGCUGUUGAGUCAAGGAUUUGUCUCGUUUGAAUUCGAAGACCAUUAACAAACAUUUGCAUCUGCUCAGUUUCAUCCAUGUUGUGAGUAGGACAAGCCACUAGGAUUCUCUUGAAUCUUUUAUAGGCAUCUCCUAUCGUUUGAAUUCGAAGACCAUUAACAAACAUUUGCAUCUGCUCAGUUUCAUCCAUGUUGUGAGUAGGACAAGCCACUAGGAUUCUCUUGAAUCUUUUAUAGGCAUCUCCUAGUGACUCACCCUCCUUUUGCUUGAAGUUUAGGAUCUCCUAUCUUUUUCUCAGUGACAUAGAUGCGGGAAAAUAUUCCUGCAAGAAUGUUGUUUCCAUCUGCUCCCAUGUAGUGAUACUGCCAGCCGGUAAGGAAUAGAAUCACUCUUCGGCUUCAUCUGCUAAAGUGAAUGGGAACAUACGAAGCCUUAUUGCUUCUUCGUUAUGUCCAGGCAUUUUCAGCGUUGUGCUCAUAGUUAAAAAUCUUUGCGGAUGCUUGUUGGCAUCUUCAUUCACUCUUCCAGAAAAGGACCGCCUUUCGAGUUGAUUAAUUAUGCUGGGAUGCAAUUGAAAUUGUUUUACAUUAACCGGGUGGUUUACAAUUGUCAUCCGACCACCCGGAGUGUUGGUUCCACCAUUGUCACCGAGAAGUCUCUCGGGUGGUGGUGGUGGUGGUGGGUUUGCAGCCAUGAUUUCAGGAACUAUUUCCGCGUCUGAAUCUGAAUUCUCUGAGUGCACUGAAACAACUUCCUCCUCUGCUUUCUUUGCUAAUUCCAGUUUUUCUCUCUUAGCUUGUCUUAGUCUAGCACGAAGAGUUCUUUCUGGAUCUGCGUCAAAAGAAAAAUCCGCUGAGGCCUUACCUCGCAUAAACAAGUUAGACAAAUAUUAGAAUUGAAUAACAAGAUUGUCACAGAUAAAAUUUUGGUUGACGAGCAGAUAUAAAUUCACAAAACCAACCAAACCCUUGUCUUUUUGUUCAAAUAGAAUCAGAAGUAAAAUAAGUAUUUCCCCCGCAAUCCCUGAGAUCGAUACUUGGAAAUAAAAUCCUAUUACAUCAAUCGCGUAAAAAAGUACACUUGCUAAUUCCGAUCAAGUUUUUGGCGCCGUGUCGGGUAAUGCCAAAUAAAACCUAUUUUAAUUUUUAAUUCUUAUUAUGAAAUUUUACAAAAAAAGUUGCUCAGCAAACCAAAAAAUAUUUAUAUGCCUGUAGUGACACACAUCUUAUCAAUCUAAUAUUGAUACGCCAAAAUUAAACAAUUGUUUAUGCGAGACAGUAAGCCUCAAGCGGAUUUUCUUUUAUGACGACAAUCCACGAAAGAACUACUUCGUGCUAGCACUAGAGACAAGCAAACGGAGAAGAAAAACAAUGGAAUAGCAAAGAAAGGCAGAGGAGGAGGAAAGAUUGUUUCAGUGCAACUCAGGAGAAUUCCGAUUCAGACGCGGAAAAUAAAUACAAAAAUCGUUCCUCGACAAUAUCAAAUGGCAAUGCAAAACACCCACACCACACAACAACAACACUCCAAACCACACCACACACCUGAGAAAAAAACUUAUCGAACCAAGAUAACAAGAUUGAGUGGAAAACCAAACCACUCCGGGUAGUGGACGAUGACAAAAUGUGAAACACCCAGGUAUGAUUAAAAACACAUUAAAUUACAAUUGUACCCAGCAAUAAUUAAAAUGCAAACUCGAAAAGAACGACACGUUCAUUUAUAUAAAUCUGGAAAGAUAAAAAAAGAUACAGCGAGUAAACAACAAAACAUUGUUGAAUGAAAAAAUGGUAGGAACCACAAACAAAAGAAAAAAGCAAACAAAAAAUACAAACCAACGAGGACAAAAAAACAAAAAAAGAAGAAAAGAGAAUAAAGAGAAAUAAUUACUUAACUCAUGAGCCAACAACGGCUUGAGAAAAUGCCCUGAACCAUAACGAAGAAGCAAUUAAGGAGUUCGCUAGUCCAUUACUCUUAGCAGAUGAAAGUCACGAAGGAGGUGAUAUACAUCAUCAAACUUAAAGCCGAAAAAAAGUGCUCGGCCAAAGAAUCAACCACAUCGGAGCAAGAGUGGAACUAUAAAACACAACAUUCUUGCAGGAAUAAUUAGUCGACAUAUAUAGAGUCCACUAGGAGAAAAAAAAAGAAAUAAAAAAAAAAAGAACCAAAGCAAUUAAAAUAGCAAAAACAGCAGCCUGGGCAUUGUUACAGGAAGCAUCAAUCAAAUAAACCAACACAAAACACGAAAUUCAAAUUUCUGGAAAAAUUAAAAACAUGUAAGCUACAUUGAACAAGCCAGGGUUCUAUGGUUUUUUUAGAAAACAACAGCCAUAACAACCACAUCAUCAUUCAAAACAGCAACCAAAAACAACAGCAUUACAAAAUAUGCUAUUUCGACAGUGGAAUUCUCUUUCUGAAAGACAUGACUGAUUUGGCAACUAACAUAACCAGCUGCAUUCAUCAUCCUUCUACUAAUGUUAACCUACAUCAAUCAUAUAACAAGAUUUCAGAAUAGAGAAAGGCCCUAGUUCACAGAGGUGAACAUUCCCUCCCUCUCUUGGCAACCUAAGACAAGAGUCCUCUCCGUUUCACUACCUCCUGCCGAUUCCCCGGUUGUUCCCCCCCCCCCCCUCCCCCCGUUGUUGAGAGCAGAUUACCUCCUUGUGAAGUUUUAGCACUCUCCGCACAUUCUUCCUUUUUUCUCCAUGACCCCAUAGAGCGGGGACCAUCUCCUCCGCAAGCGGCACCCCCCCAUAAGCCAAAACCAAACACAAACAACCAAAUUCGGAGCCCAAGUAUGCUGGGCUAUUGUUAUUUGUUCAAACAACAGCAAAGCAAUCAUGUUCAUCAUGCAAUCAAACAGUCGAUCACAAUUGAAACUCAAACUAGCAGUGGGCGUAGCAAACAUGGGCAUUUGGUACAAGUUUGUUCAUGCCAACAUCACUUCACUCACACAAUCUGUCCCAAAAGUCUAAUUAAUUGUUUAACAACAGACAAGCAUAAGGCAAAGGAAAUUCCUGAUGAUGGCGCAGAGCUAAUAUUAUGAACCACAACCCAAACAGGUUAAUUAGCGAAUAUCAGAGAAUUCCUACAUCUCGCAUGGCUUCUCUCAAUUAUACAUCAUAACAAGUGUCGUGGAGCAAUAGGAAACCACAAUCAACCCAAAAUGGCCGUUAGCAUUGUGGCUUCGUCGCUAUUAAUGGAACAUCACAGGCCUUAGCAACAUCAACAACAACCAAAUUCUACAAACAUAUAGACACGUGUGGUGCAUCAUANUGGUUGGUUUUGUGAAUUUAUAAUAAUAAACACAAAAAGAUAGUAGAAAUAAUUGAUUAAGAUAAAAUAUGCUAGGGUGAGUGGUUGAUUUAACCAGUUAUGAAUUCAGUCAAGAUUUCCUUAAUACACAUGAAACAUUCAAUUACCUAACCGCAUAAUGUUCUUCCUUAAGUCCUUAAGGAAGAAACUAUUAAACUACCAAUUCUUACUCAAAUGUCCAUUCAAUUAAUCAUUGGUUUUAAUCAUAAACAAUAUCAAGGUUUAUGGUGAUUCACAAAUGUUCCUAGUCCUAGGUGAUGCAAUUAUAAACCCAAUUGUGUGAAAACACUAACAAUCACAAUCCUGUUAUUGAUAGUCAUAGAUCUAUUUGUAUUUGUCUGAUACAAAAGCAUAAGCACAUCAGACAAUUGAAUUGAAAUUCGUAACAUAGUAAUAAGGAAAUCCAUAGAUAGAAUUCAUAACAUCAGACCAAAUCAGGACCACCCCCCUAGCAUUGGGGGUUUAGCCUCUCAUAGUAUUCAAAGAAAUCAUAGUAUAGAAAUUAAACAUUACAAAGAAUGAGGAGAUUUUGAUCUUCAAUGGGUGAUGCCCUUGAAUCUCGCCGUCUUUGAAUCCUCCGUAGUAGCUAUCUUCUCCGGUGCAAUGUUUCUUUUCGUACGUCAAAAAGUGUCUUCUCUAUCUCUCCAAAGUCUUUUAAUAGCCUCAGAUGGUUUUUCCCCAGUAAGAAGUCCAAAAUACCCUUAAUGAACAGGGCAGAUCCACACAACAAAAAGUAAAAUUUCUCAGCCGCGCCCAUCAACACUGGCAGUGUGGAUACACAUGGGUGCCCGUGUUGAUUCACACGGGCCGUGUGAAUUUACAUGGGUACCCGUGUUGUUUUCAAGAGUUAUGUUUUUUAAAGCAAGCUACAGAGGCAUCAACACGGGCCGUGUUGAUGCACACGGGUGCCCGUGUUAACCCUCUAUUUUACCUCCUGGAGUGCUUGUUUCCGGACAAACAACACGGGCCGUGUUGAUGUACACGAGGGCUCGUGUUGACCUACUGUAUCUUCAUAUUUUGGCCUUCCGGAGCAUCCAAUACUCGGCUAUUAGUCCUUUGGAACCUAUGCACAACCUGCAACAUUAACACUACCAAAUCGAAGCAUAAAAAGAGACUUUUUGACAUAAACAAGUAACAAAAUGCAAUGCACUAAUAAACUAACAAAACUUGUUAAAUGACUUUAAAAUAACUAAAAACAACCACAAGUCUGACCAAACUGAUGAAAAUAUGUCGGAUAAAAGGUGGGAAUUCAAUGGAAAUGGUGACCGAUCAUCGGUUAUUCUUCUGUGCUUCAGCCAAGCUGACUCACCGAUACAACACUCGCGCCAAUCAACCCAAGAUCUUGGAACAUUUGGAACAAGAGAACAAGGAGCUGAAGGAUGAGAUUGCAUGGUUGACUUCCAUGAUGGAGGUUGUUCUUGCUCCGCAUAAUCAGUCUUCACCAACUCCCGCAACUCCUCCAUAGAGGAUUGUCGUUUCUUAGGUUUCUACCUCGACUAUUCCUGUUGAUGUUAGCCAAUCCGGGUUUUCUAUGCCUGCUGGAUUCCCAUAGGAAAUGCCGCCAACAUUUGUGCCUGAAGGGUUUAUGCCUACCUUUGUUUCUAUGCCAGAAUCUAGCCCGAUCAUGUCUAUGCCUCCUCUAGUUGUUCAUACUUUGCCUCGUGUUGAGGGCACCAUCAACCAUUCUGAGACAUCUGAGGGACCAGAUGUUUAUGAGAAGAUGGAUGAAAUAAAGGAUCGGUUCCUUGAGUUGCAAAAAGAGAUGAAAACAUUGAGAGGAAAGGACCUGUUUGGUAAGAGUGUUGCUGAACUCUACUUGGUACCAAAUGUGAAAAUCCUGAUGAAGUUCAAGGUCCAUGACUUUGAAAAGUAUAAGGGAAAUGCUUCUCUAUUUAGUCACCUUGUUAUGUACGCCAGGAAGAUGUCAACUCAAACUAAUAAUGAUUAGUUGUUGAUUCACUAAUUUCAAGACAGUUUAAUCGGUGCUACUCUGAGAUGGUAUAUGGAUCUAGACAGUGCAAGUGUUCAUACUUUCAACGAUUUGGGUAAAGCUUUUGCUAAGCAGUACAAGUAUAAUGUGGAUAUGGUGCCUGAUAGACACCAAAUAAGGUAUAUGUCUCAGAAGGAUAAGGAGACGUUUAAAGAGUAUGCUCAGAGGUGGAGGGAACUUGCUGCUCAGAUUAAUUCUCCAUUAGAAGAGAAAGAGAUGACGAAGAUUUUCCUUAAGACCUUGAGUUCAUUUUAUUACGAACGUAUGAUUGCCAGUGCCCCUAGUGACUUUACCGAAAUAGUAAACAUGGGGAUGAGGUUAGAAGAGGGAGUCCGUGAUGGACGUCUGUCUAAGAAAGAAGCGUUGUCCAAUAAGAAGUAUGGAAGUGGUUUCUCCAAAAGAAAAGAGGCGGAAACUAAUUCACUAUCUGUAGGGAGGCUGAGGAGGCCUCAUGUUAGAAGGAGUUCCCAACCACGUCAGCAUCAACAUCAAGUCUUUUCAGUGAUUCCCGUCUUUUCCAAUAGUUCCAUUAAUCAACUUGUUCCAAUUCAACAACAACAACAACGUCAACAACAACCGCAGCAAAGAACCACCACCACCACCAACAAUAAUCAACAAUAAAACUUUGAGAGGAAGAAGGUCUCUUUUGACCCUAUUCCUAUGUCAUACGCCGAAUUAUAUCCAUCCUUGGUUCUCAAGAACCUACUUCAACCCAGAAAUCCACCGCAAAAUCCCGAGCCACUUCCAUGGUGGUUCAAACCUGAACUCCGUAGUGCCUUUUACCAAGGAGCCCCUGGCCAUGACAUUGAUAACUGCUAUCCAUUGAAGUAUGAAGUACAAAAGCUUGUGAAGAGUGGGAUGGUGUCGUUUAAGGACCGUGCGCCUAAUGUGAAAGCCAAUCCUUUACCUGCUCAUGGUAAUGCUUCAGUCAACAUGGUUGAUGGUUGUCCUGGGGAGUUCAAUAUUUAAGACAUCCACUAUAUCAGAAGGUCCUUAGUGGCAAUGCAUAAGGAUAUUCGUAUGGUUAGUGAAUGUGAGCAUGACCAUGAUGGUUGUGCAAUCUGUAGUGUGAACCCUCGAGGAUGUGUUAUUGUCAAGAGGGAUAUUUAAAGGUUGGUGGAUGAAGGUCUUAUCCAAAGUUUUCAAUCCCGUCACUUGGGAAAUGAUGUUAAUGUGAUUGUUCCUAUGUUUAAGACCCCUGAGUGGGUAGUAAUCCAGUUCAAUAGUAGUAGCAGUAACAACGUUAAUAGAUCGGUAUCAUCGUUAGUAAUACGGUUAACAGGCCCCAUCCCGUAUGCAUCCGAUAAAGCUGUGCCUUAUCAGUAUAAUGCCACAAUGGUGGAGAAUGUCCAAGAGGUUCUGUUUCCCGUAGCAGAUUUUGUGGUGAAUAUAGCUGAUAUUGCAAAGGUGACCCGUAGUGGUCGUGUCUUCAGCCUGUAAGAAGGUGGAUGUGCCUGUGGUGAAUCCAGUUAGUGCUCCAGUUUGUCAGUCUGGUGAAUCCAUCAAGCUGAAGCCUAAUGAUAAUGAUGAAGUUUUGAGGUUGAUAAAAAGAAGUGAAUUCAAUGUGGUGGGGCAGCUUAUCUAAACCCCAUCAAAGAUUUCAGUGUUGUCUUUGUUCAUGAACUCCGAAGCACAUAGAGAAGUGUUGCAGAAAGUCUUAGAGCAAUCCUAUGUUGAGCAUGAUAUCACUGUGUGUAGCGGUAAAUUCAUGAUCAUCCAGCUAUGGAUAAGCUGGAGAUCAAUAAAACCAGAGUCGCCACCGCGCUUUUAUUAUUUUCAAGGGAAAAGGGAAAAAGUACGAACAAAACCCAAAAGUAAGAAGUUUUCAAAUCAAAACUAAUAAAAUGUCAGAGAUUACAGGUAAGGGGGUUGGUUACACAGAGGGAAGGUGUUAGAACCCAAAGUGUUCUAGGUACUCCAAGGGAGCCCUUUCUUGUGUGCGUAUGUAUUUUGUACAAAGUGAUGUUUACAAACAAAUAGAAUGGAGGGAUGAGAAAAGAAUUCAUUAAUUAUAUUUUUAUGUUUGAAAAGACCUUCGGACUUAUGCCUACAUACUGUAAGACCCUAAUUUUGACCCUAAGAUCCCUCAUGGCAUCAUAACAUUGCAUUUGCAUCAUAGCCUCAAGGAAAAUUUGCAUCUUGGUUCCCUUUGCCUUUGGGUGGGAUCUCUUGAGAUUUGGUUUGAGAUCACCAAGCAUGCUUGAAUUGUAUAUUAUUGCUUUUCUCAUUUUAUUUACUAACCAAAAGCACAAAAAUAUGUCACUAACAUCUUUUGUUUGUAGCUUGAGCAGUCAGUAUAUUAUUGCUUUUCUCAUUUUAUUUACUAACCAAAAGCACAAAAAUAUGUCACUAACAUCUUUUGUUUGUAGCUUGAGCAGUCACAAGGUCUAAAGCUUCUAGGAGAUCCUAUGUGCAUUGAUAUGGUUAAGAGAAGGUGAAAGCAAGCAUGGAAAUGGUUCCUAAAGCUAUCAUCCAUCAAAUAUGCCUCCCAAGUAUCUCAAUUUAUCAUUUUGAUCAAAGCAAACAAGGGGCUUGAGGCUUGUUUUCCAAGGGAACCCUACUUCAUCUGUUCAUCAACUAUGCCUUGCUCAUGAAGCAACCUCAGCCCAUGAUCAAAUUCAAUCAAGGGAAGUUCUUUAAUUCAUCAUUUCAUGCAUAUUUGAACUUAUUUGAGUGUCCUCAAUCAUCAACUCAUCAAGAUAUGAGUUUUGGACUUGAGAAGUUGAUCAGUCAAUUCAUCUAACCAUUUUGAAAUGCACUGAGACCUAACUUUUUAUGUGUUUGUCAAAUGGAGAUUACCCCAAGAGAAAAAAUGUUCUUAAGUAAUAUAUGAACAACUUUCAUGUUCAUCAAAAUUGAUUUGAAGCUUGGAAGGUCAUCAUCCAUUCCAAGACAUUAUAGGUCAUUUUGACUGAAACCCUAAUUUUAGGUCAACUUCCUAAGGACAUAACUCCUACAUUUUUCAUGAUUUUGAGGUGAGAUCUAAUGAAUUGGAGAGAGUAAGAUAUCUAAUUCAAAUGUUAUGUUUAGCAAAAUUGAAAAACCUCAAAAGAAAUACAUGUUAUAAUGCAAAACAUUAUAGGUCACUUUGGACCAAAUGCAUUGAAAUGUGAAAAAGUCCAACUUCAAGUGCCCAUAACUUCUUCAUCAAAAAUCCAAAUGAUGAAAAAUUUAAGUCCAAAUUGAUUGCCUUGAGACGAUCUACAACUUGCAUGUUGAAUAUUUUGUCAUUUGUAGUUUUCAUCAUUGAGACAGAAGGGCUUGAACAUUGGCCAAUUUUGAAAAUUUCACAUAUGCAUGUUUUGCACCCUACACUUCAAGUUCAAUUUUCAUUAAUUUCCAAGGCCCAAAUGGAGUUUUGAUCACAUUGGCCAAUUUUGAAAAUUUCACAUAUGCAUGUUUUGCACCCUACACUUCAAGUUCAAUUUUCAUUAAUUUCCAAGGCCCAAAUGGAGUUUUGAUCAACAUAACAUUUGUUCCUUAUGCAAUAAGAUUUCCAACCAUUACCCAUAAGGCUAUGUUUCAAUUUUGGAAGUAUCAUUUUCGAAGAGGGGAACUUUUAGUGCAUUUUUGGAAACUUGAUUCAAUUGCCAUGCAUGAUCCAAAUACAUAUCUUCUGCACGUCCAAAACAUAUUUGGUGAUGUUUAGCUUACCAUUCCAAUCAGAAUUGGGCCCUCCAUGCGCCUGUACUGGCCCAUGCAUGGAGGGCCUUUUCAUCCAUGCACACACUUUGCUCAUGCUUGCAGCUCCCUUCAUCUAUAAAUACAAGGCCUUGGCUUCAUAAUUGGACAACCUGAAGUCACCUGUUAUGCUGCACGAAUCCCUCCAUAGCCAUACUUAAAGGAACUUUCUCUUUUUCUUCAAAUUUUCAGAUCUAAAUUUCAGCUACACUGGUUGAUUUCUAGAUCUAUAGUUCCUAAACCUUGCUCAUCUUCAUCACUAGACUACACUGCAAGCAUUAGCAAAGGCGAAUUGUGCUCUCAAGAUCCACAUUUCAAAGGUGGAUAUCAGAACUUAUUUUCUCCGAAACUCUUUAUUCAUAGCUUAUUUCUUACAUUUGCUGGGUUGUGUGAAGUCCUCUCAAUAGAGGCAAUUGUUUUGUGCUUUGAAUUUUGCAAAUCCAUCAAGUUUCAGUUGAACACCAUAUUUUUCAACCUCUGAUUUCUCUCUCCAUGAAAGUCUAGAGUGAAAAUAGAUGGUACAGGGGUGAUGUACAUCACCCCAGCUUUACAUUGUUGUAUAGAUCGCCUCAUUUGGUGAAGGUUUAUUUUCUGCAACUCUCGUCGGAAUCUCUGGUCUCGCCGGAGAAGACGGUGGUGUACACCACCGUCCGUUUGCCAGUUUUGAUCCAGGUCGUUGAUGAUGAUUCCCAGAUUGAAUCAGGGCUCUUGGAUCUUAUGACUUUUUUUAAGUGUUUAUGUUGCUUAGUUGACUUAGGUCCAUGAUACGCGCGCAUGCCACAACCGUCUGAUCUGCCAGGUCAAUUAAUGAAUUGAAUCCAACGCGUGUGGUUUUUCCUAAUUUUCUAUUUCUGAUUUUAAUUUCCAUUUUAUUUCUCUUAUUCCAUUUCAUUUCAAAAAAUCAUAUCUCAUUCAUUAUUGAUCCAAAAAAUGUGAGACCAAUUGCAUUAUUUCUCUUUUAAUUUCUAGUUUCUAAAAAUGAUUUUUAAUAUUUUUUAUUUUAUCAUUUGAUAUUUUUCAUGAAUUUUCUCUUUUCUGGUUAUUUUUAAAUUUGAAGUUUGACCUUUCUUUAUUAUUUUAAUUCAAGUUUUAUUUAAAUAUUAAAAAAUGCCAAAAAUAUUUUAUUUGUUUCUUGACUUCUAAUUCUCAUUUUGCUUCUGUUUUCUAUUAUUUGACCUUGAUCUUCUCUAUCAUUGGUCAAUGUUUGUUGAUUAGUACAUACCAUUUCCAUCAAUGCACUUUAAUUCUUCAUUUUCUUCUUCUUCUUCUUCUUCUUUUUCUUUUUUGGAUCAAUGAGUUAAAGAUUGGUGGUUAGCAUUGAUUAGGGAGGUUUAAUCUUCCUUGAUUCAAAUCUAAUUCAUCUUUAUCAUGGAUCAAGUGAAUGGCUUUGCAUUAAGGAUAAAUUGCUUCCUAAAUCAUGCAAAGAACCUAAAUCAAUACAAGAUCAUUUCUCAUCUUCUUUUUGGCAUGGAAAGUUGUUGGAGUUUGAUUCACUAAUCAAGACCUCUAACUUGUGUUGUUGCCUACAUUAUUAUUGACCGGCCUCAGAUAGUUAUAGUUGUGACUUCUACAUAAGUCCAAUUACGAUUGCUUAACAUAGCGCUAAAUUUGCCUUAUGGCACACUAACUACUAACAUUAACCAUUAACCAUUAACAUUUAAUUCUUGCUCUUUACAUUUAUGAUAUUUAUUAUUCUUGUACAUAUUAUUCAUUUUCUUUUUCCUUUGCUCAUUUGAGCACAUGUUUAUGUUAAUGCAAUUUGCCUUUUGCUCACUUGAGCAUAUAAUUGUGUAUAUAUUAUUGUGCUUGUGUUUUGUUUAAUUGUUAUGGACCAAAUGCAAAGAAAUAGACAAAUGGACUUAGUUUCUAGGAUAUUCCCUAUGCAAAUUGGAGUAAAAGGAUCUUAAUAUUGAAGAUGGAUUGGAAGGACCAAACCUCUAAACUCACUCUUGUCCAUUCUUGAUUUGCUUCAUAAGACUCUUUGAUGUGUGUGUGCUUUUGUGCUAGGGGAUCCUAUGAGAUAUCAAAUUGAAGAAUCAUUGCCAUGUUCAUCCAAAUUGAAAGAUACAAGAGGCAUUGGGGAUCUUCUAAGAGCUUGUUUGAUUAUGUUGAUUGCUUGAGCUUACUAUUAUUUUGCUUGCAUAUUCCAAAGGAUGGGAGCUACUUGGAUCAUCAAUAUGAUCACAAGAGAGGAACUCCAUUUGUGGUCUUAUUUCUUAUCCCUUAUCUCUUAUAUGACUAGGACUUUAGCCAUUCUUUUCCCUUCCUCCACUCUAACCCAAGCUAAAACUUUUGUGCAAACAUUUAACACCUCUUUCUACACAUUAGAAACCUAAGCCUUAUGCUUUUCAUUUUCAAACUUCCUUUUAAUAACACUUAUUUUGAAUUGAAUCUUUAAGUCAACUUUGACCAUAUUUUGUAAAUACUUUUCAUUGGUAAAUAUAACCCAUUCAAAUACUUUUGUGGUUUCAAUGGCCAUUUCUAAUCAAAAUUUUUUCAUAACCUUUAGCUAUUAGGUUUGAGUUAUCCUUGAGGUUGAUGUAAUACUCACCUAUAUCCUUAGUGAUGGACAAUGAGUCUUCCAUGCUUAUUAUAGGGUUAACCCCUCACUAGCAUGUUAAAGCUAUCCUCACAUGGUGGAUUUGUGGUUUAGGUUGAGUUUUCUCCCUUGGAUAACAAAAGACCUUAAGGCUUUUGGACCAAUCAAUUCACCAACUCAUUUUUAAUAUUUUUACCCCGAACUACGAGGUUUUGAUCCUAAUCUUUUUUAAGAUGGUACGUAGGCAAUGGGUUUAUCCAUCCAAACACAAAAGGUAAAUAACUUGUAUAUUCUCUUCUCAUCUCUUCAAUCGUGUUUGCACAAACAAAUUUUCACAAAAUACCAACCUUACAACAAGUAUGAAAAUAGCUCCCUAGGAGUACCUAGGAUGUUUUGGGUGCUUAAAACCUUCCCAUUGCAUAACCAACCCCCUUACCCCGAUCUCUGACAUUUUUACUAGUUUUUGAUUCGAUAAAACUUUUAGGUUUUUGUUCAUAACCAUUCCUUUGGAUAAAUAGAAGUGCGGUGGCGACUCGACUUGUAUGGUUUACCUUGGAUUUAGUCAAUAUCUCUAAUGGUAACGAAUACCCUGCUACAGAAAAGUGGCGACUCUGCUGGGGACAUUUGCCUAGUGGGUUUUUCCUACUGUAAUACCCCAAAAUUUACCCUUCAUUUUUUCUGGAAGCAUGGGAUUAUGUUUUACAUUUCAUUAGCAUCAUACUAGGUCAUACUCAUUGCAUACUGCAUUAGUGACAUGGAAAUCAGGUUUUGAUUGAUCAUUCCUUGACAGAAGGAGCCCACAUAAAUCAAGAUUUAGAAUUGGACUUCAUUCUCUAAGAAUACAAGUCUCAAAGGUCUCGGGGGGCUCUAGGUGUCUUAUUAUGGUCCUUAGCUCAUCAGUGAAAGAUUCAGAGCUAUCAGAGUGUUCAUCUAGAUUUAAUCAAGAAAUUAGGGUUUAAGGCUACCUGCAACAGGCAAUGUUUGGUUGGAAGUAGAGGAGCUCAUCCAUGUCAUGAUUGGAGAGGCAUCUUGGCCUAGGAAGACUCACAAUUAUCUCAGAAAGAUCCAUUGGCAAGCAGUGCAACAGUCCCUAAUCAUUUUGCCCCAAAUUAGGGUUUGGUAUAAAUCAGCUUAUUUCUGAUUCUUUGGGUGAAACUAUUUUCCCAUGGCCCCAUAUGUCCACAUGGGUCUACAUACAAAAAAUCAGCUCUUUAUUUGAGUCAGAAGUGCUUCAAUUGAUCAAUGGAAUCGGGAAUCAGAUAGUUUGGGAAAAGUCAACUGUGGGCCAAGAAAGUCAACUCUUGACAUUUGGAGAGUGGAAUCUCAAAUCCAUGCCUAGGGGAUCCAUCAUGUGAAAUUGUCAGUUGGAUCUUGGAUUCAUCAUUUAAUCAGGAAUUGGAAAAGUUACUUAAUUUGGAAAUGGUUGACUUUCCAUUUAGGGCAAGUUUUCAUGAUUGUUGCACUCACUUUAAGCCCAUUUUCCAUCAAAAUAAAAGCUCCAUUUGAAAUUUUCUCCAACAUGAAAAUUGUUCAUCUUGUUCCAAGCUUUCUAGAUAUAUAAAGUUUUCUCCAUUUGGAUCAAAGUUGAAAAACUUAUGCUUGGUCAAAGUGACACAUUUAUUUAGGAUCUUCAAAGUUUGUCAAGACUUCUUGGCCAGUUUUCUUGCACUUCAAGGCACCAAUUGAAAAUGUUUUCUUCACAAUAAUUAUACCUUUCCAUGUCCUCUUUCACCUCCUUUUGGAAUCAUCUCAUUUGGAUCCAUGGUUUGAGAGAUGGAUUCAUCUAAAGUUGGCAUCAUGACUUGAAUUUCUAGGCAGCAUGUUAGGCCAAACUGGCCCAACCAUUUUGGCAUGGUGAGACCUGAACUUGAGGCCCAUUUUUCACCUUCUUCCAUUCAUCAUUUAGGCAGCAUGUUAGGCCAAACUGGCCCAACCAUUUUGGCAUGGUGAGACCUGAACUUGAGGCCCAUUUUUCACCUUCUUCCAUUCAUCAUUUCCACUUGUGCUCAACAUGAAAGAUGCUAUACUCCAUGGUCUUGCUACUGUUUGCAUCAAAGAUACAUGGCCACAAAGUCACCAUCUUGUGUAAGAGCCCAUUAAGAAUAUAUGACCCAUCAUAUGUAAGAACAAAAACCCUAAAUCUGAAGGUCAUAGUGAAUUUUAGAGCUAAGCAAGGAGGGAGUUCAUUCAAGUCAGAUUUCAUUUCUUUUCCAUUUCUCAAAGUUGAAGUUUCAAAGCACCAUUCUUCUUCCAUUUUCUCCACAACCAAGAGGCAGUGGACCUAGCUUCCACUAGGUAAUCAUCUUACUCCUUCUUCCAUGGCCAUGUAUAGCUUAUUAUGCUCAUCAUUAUGCUUGCUUCAUGCCAUUACCAUGCUCAUCAUCAUGCUGGUUUCCAUGUUAAUAUUAUGCUAUGCUCAUUUCUGAAGCCCUCAACAUGAGACAAUGUUCAUGUUGUGGAUUUGUUUUGUUUAUUUCUGCUCACACUCGUGGCCAUGUUGUCCUCUUGUUGUCAAUAUUUCUCCAUGAUUAAGCCAUCAUUUAACCUAAAACAAGUCACCAUGUUAAUCCUUGCAUUUCAUACUUGAUGUCUGGUUUUUAUUUCGUGUCUUUUGGUGCACUAUGGCAUGCGCAUUCUUGAGUGGAAGUUUGGAAAAACUCACUUCAUUUUCGCGAUUUCUGCAUGAUUAUGGCAUUAGGGUUUGGUUUGAGGAAGGAGAUGAUUACGUGUCAUCUUAGGAACCGUUAGAUCCAAGGCAUGUGUUUUAAUCCUGGCCAUUUAUUUGUUUUUGUCCUCUAGUGACUUAAGUACCCGUGACCAAUUGAUACAAGGUUACUUGAUUUAAUUUAUUAAAAUGUUAUUUGUUGUCACGCUGGUUUAAUAAUUGUUUGGACUGGGCCUGCGCUUUCCCGCUCUCCACACCCCCAAGUUCCAGGGCCCAUCAACACUAAUACUUUCUCUUUUCAUUUUCUUUUUUUAAUUUCCAUUUAUUUGCUGUUUUGAUUUUAAUUAUUUUAGAAUAUUUUCUUUAUUCAUAAAAAUCCCCAAAAAUAUUGUCCACAUUUCUUAAUGCCUUAUUUAAUUUUAUUUAAUUUUUAUUUUCGUAUUUAUUUAAUGUUAAUAUUUUAUUUCAAUUAUUAAUUCUAAAUGGUUCUUUUAAGCAUACCUUNUUUAUUUAAUUUUUAUUUUCGUAUUUAUUUAAUGUUAAUAUUUUAUUUCAAUUAUUAAUUCUAAAUGGUUCUUUUAAGCAUACCUUUAAUUCUUGAUUUUAUUUUCAUGGCUUAAAAUUAUUUUUAGCCUUUGAUUUUUGGGAUGAAGGUUGACCACUGUCCCAUGGUCAACCUGACAUUUUCUUGAUUUUUUAUUUCACAAUUUUCUAUUUAUUUGAUAACUAUUUUGGUUGGUUGACUUUUAGUUUGACCUUUAUUUUAUUUCAAUUAAUUCAUGAACCAAUUUUCAUUAUUUUUGAAAUCUUUUUGGGGGAUGAUGAUGUCCUGACCCCACCUCAUUUAGUUUAAUUUUUCAUAAUUUUCUUGAUUAAUUUGCUAUUUAUUUGACAUUUUUUAAGUUGACUUGAGCUUUCAGUUGCCUUCUUUAUGAUCGAUGUUUGAGUUAGGGAUUGCUUAUGGCAAUUGAAGAGACCUUUUGAUCCUCCCUUGUUCAUCUCAUAUGCCAUGUAUUAGAGGCCUUUUAUCUUGAUUUUAUUUGGUCCUUACCUCAUUUCCGGAUUAAAUUUUUCAGUGGACCCCUUUUGUGCAUCUUUUCAUCUGUCUGAUUCAUCUGAUAUUUGUUAUACUUGUUUCUUUCAUCCAUGCCUUCUUUUGCUUGAUUGUUUAACAUGUUCAUACUUCCUAUGCAUUGUUUAAUGCUCCAUCAUAUCAUUCUUUGAUUAUUUGACUUGAUUAUAUACCUGUCAUAUACUCUUAUUGUUUGAUAACUGUUGCCUACUUGUAUGAUGAUUGAGGCAUAUAUUCUUAUUGUUUGGUCGCCGUGAACCAUCCCCAUUUGUAACAAAUGUACCCCUCUCCCAAGAAGUGUAUAAUAUUUAUUCUCUCAUUCUUUAUUCAUCUGUUAAUACAAGAAUUAAAACGAACAUCCGAUAAUCAUUUCAAAACAAGAUCAAAAGCUCGACCCAACGUCGAGUAAUCAUUUUCAAAACUUAACAGAACCAGCAUGUAUUCAUUCAUCCUCUUGUAAGUCGAUCUCCUCAGGCAUCGCCAUUUCUCUUGUAAGUCGAUUGCUUCAGGAAACACCAUCUACCUCUUGUAAGUCGAUUGCUUCAUACAUCGCCAUCUACCCUUAUCCGUGGCUCCUCUCCUCGCUCCAUCCGUCAACUCUUGUUCUGUUUAGGUAACACCCAUUAGGUAGAACCUUUUGUAUUAUAACAUAGGUAGAAUUCCCUUAUUCUUUGCAUGCUAACAUUAGGUAGAUGUUUCCCUUCUGUAAAUCCUAAUACAUAGGUCCACAUUGCAUGACAACUCUAGGGCAGAGCUUCCCCACUUUUAGACCUUCCGUGCGUCUCCGAUCUUGUGGCAUGUCAAUCCGUUCUAUUGCAAAGAGGUAACUGCCUAAGACUCGAUUAGAGCUUCCCCACUUUUAGACCUUCCGUGCGUCUCCGAUCUUGUGGCAUGUCAAUCCGUUCUAUUGCAAAGAGGUAACUGCCUAAGACUCGAUUCAGCGAGCUGCGACACCUACUGCUAGGAUGUUGACCACAUUGCCCACUUUCCUUUGACACAGCUGGUGUCCUCUUUUGUAAGUCCAUGUUCAGAUGGAAAUCCAUAACCCCUAGUUAGGCGAACUACGACAACUCUGAUUCUCAUGUUCAGAUGAGAUACGUAGGCACGAGAUGUGAUGUCUUGCCGAGUUUGACUAACGACUAACAACUAAUCCUUGUUUACUUUCCCCCUUGCUGCGAUUCUUUUCUCUCGCCCUCGUUGCGAUCGAGACCUUCCCUUUCUCUUGCCCUAGUUGCAAUCGAGACCCUUGUUCCCGUAGUUAGCUGAACUACGUUUUUCUCUGAUUCUCAUGUUCAGAUGAGAUACGUAGGCAUAAGACACGAUGUCUUAGAGAGCACACUUCUCUUUCGCCCAUAGGUAGCUGAGCUACGAAGACUCUGAUUCUCAUAUUCAGAUGAGAUACGUAGGCAGUGGAUGCGACAUCCUUGCGAGUCAUUUUAUUUUAACCCUUCUUUUAGUAAAUAGUACCUUAGAUAUACCUACACCCUUUAGACUAGAACAACAAGAGUGGAUCCCGUAGAGUACUACAGAUGCGUAGGGGUGCUAAUACCUUCCCUUCGCAUAAUCGACUCCCGAACCCAAGAUUUGGUUGUGAGACCUUGUCUUUUCCUUCUCUUCAGGUUUUCUUCAAUCGUUUCCUUUCCCUUCUUUGGGAUAAAUAACGAACGGUGGCGACUCUUCUAUUUCUUUUUCUUCGCCGGUUGUUUUUUUUCGCACCAGUUGCGACAGCUGGAGACUCUGUUGGGGACCCGGUUUCCCUAUGCGAAUCCCUCCUAGCUUUUGUGAGUUUCUUGUUUGUUGGGUGUUUAUUCUUUUAUACAAUUAUUUACUUUCAGCAUUUAUCUGCUUUAUCUUAUUGCAUUAUGUACAUAUGAUUGUUGUAUCUGUUGGAUCUGUGGGGUUGGUUGUUUGUUGGGAUGGGUUGUUCUAUGAGAGAUAAGCCCACUACCCAGGCUUGAGCGUACACACAGGUUUUAGAGUGGAUAGUCAUGAGGCUUGCAUAGUAUGUUGCUACGUUAAGUCGUUCACGAAGACCCACACCAUGAUGAGGUUUCUUUUGGAUAUAUUCUGUCCUAUGAGUGUUCCAUAACGACAGACGUUCCUUUAGAAAUCGUCGACUCUGGUGACCAUUUCCCGAGGACUCAGUCGAGGGCUCUCCUCCGAGACGCGGUUAUGUUAGCUCUGGUGGGCACAUUCUCGCUGCUCAAUCCGAGGACCCCGAGGCUGGGAAUUGCUUUUAGGAUGUCCUGUUGAGGGGAGUCAGUGGAGGUCUUUUGUCUCGUAAUAAUGCUAAACCUUCAGUAGUAAACGUAUUAUUCUCGACUGAAGGACUAGAAGCUAAUGAACUUCUGUUCUUGGAACCUACCAGUGAGGGGCGGGCUAAAUUCAGGAAACCUUAACCUUCAACCAACCCAGUUUUCUGGUAUUCUUGUUGGAACAGAGCUUUGAUCUCUUAUAUGUUCCUCAGUGGUUUUCUCUUCAGACAGUGCGACCUGACAGUUGUUCAAGCAGAUACAGCAAUCAUGAUUCCCAUGUCACUGCAUUGCAUCACAUCAUUUUGCAUUCAUAUCAUUUAACACAUGUUUAUCCAUUACUAGGGGUUUAUAUCUUCUUCUUGAUUCUAGUCGGGGUUUUCUGGUUCUCCUAAGAUGGAUAUUGGCAGAAAAAGACAUGUCGCCUACAGAUUUCUUGUGGUUUGUUUGGAUCCCAUUCAACAGCUGAUGAAGUUAACGAAUCAUGAUUCUCUAGAAGGAUUCCGGAAGGAUUAUGGUUUGAUUCUAAGCUUCGUUACGGCUCUCUCCAAAGAUCAACACGAUGCUCUCUUUACACUGCUGCAGUUCUAUGACCCUACAUUGAGGUGUUUUACAUUCCCAGAUUAUAUCUUAGUCCCUACUUUGGAGGAGGUUGCCAGUUUUCUCAGAGUUCCUAUCAAGCCGCAGUUGCUAUUCUACAAUUCCAAGUUUCUGCCCGAUUUCAGCAUGGUUGCUUCAGCCACAUAUUUGGGGAAAUCAGUCUUGGAGUUUAAUAUGAGUCAGAAAGGAGGAGUUAAUGGUUUUCAUCUGAGUUUCCUAGUAGGAGAAGCCAAGAAGAAGCUUGAAGAUGGUGAUUGGAGGUGUUUCAAUGCUGUGUUGGCUCUUUGUGUAUACGGGAUUGUCUUGUUCCCUAAUGUUCCAAAAUUUGUGGACGUAGACGCAAUACACCUCUUCGUGUUGGGAAAUCCGGUGGCGACCUUGCUAGGAGAUUUCUUUCAUUCAGUGCAUCACAGGAAUGAGAAUAGAAAAGGAGGAUUGGUGAAUUGUUGUGCACCCUUGUUUCAUAAGUGGUUCAGUUCUCACCUACCCAAAUCAGGAGCGUUCAUUGACUUCAAGGACUCGUUGAGUUGGUCGAAGAGAUUGAUGGGGAUAAGAGCUAAAGACAUUUCUUGGUGGUCUGACCAGAACUUGCUUCGGGCGGAUAUCAUUCACAGUUGCGGGAACUUCCCGAAUGUGCCAUUGGUAGGAAGAAAAGGAGGGAUCAACUAUAAUCCUUCUCUAGCAGUCAGACAAUUUGGGUAUGCUUUGAAAACUCCGCCUUUGGAAAAAGAUGUGGAAGAAUCUCUGUUUUUCCAUUCCUCAUCUGAUUUGACUGUAUCCCAUAAGGCAGUUGAGGCUUGGCUCAAAGUGAUCAAGAGAGGAAGGACUGUGCUUGGAAAGGGAGAUUGCAGGACUUAUCAUCAAUAUGAAGAUUGGCUUCGGGGAAGAGUCGAAGAGUUUGGUCUGCCUUUUCCUAUUAAAGAACCUUUGUAUCCACCUACUCCUGAGCAGUCAACGAUGGUGAGUCGAGAGGAGUAUGACAAAUUGAAGAAUGCCAUUGAGGAACUUCAAACUAAAAACUCAGAGUUGCGUGUGAAAUUGCAAGAAUGUAUGCAUCUAUACCAUGAGGCAGAAUAUCAGAAGGGGGAAACUGUCAGAUUGCAAGAGGAAGCAGAGAAGAAACUGGUUGUGGAGGUUAACUUCUUCAGGAAAACUGACAAAGCCUUGGGGUCAUCCAGUUCUGAGUUGAGGCAAGUCAAGCAGUAGUUAACAGAUGCCUGUGGUAUGUUAGCUGGGUGGCAAGAGCAGUGGGAUGCAUUUUCAGCUUCUCGGAAGGCAAAAGAGAAGGAGAUGAUGGCCCAAUUGACCGGUCAGAUGGAGAAGUUGAAGACUCUGCUGAAGGAGAAGAACAAUGAGCUCUUGUGUGCCCGUACAACCAAUGGUUACAUCACAGAUCAACUCGACAAUGCUCAAGUACAUAUUGAAGAACUCAAGGUGCUGGCGGGUUUGAAGAAAUCUAGACUUGAAGAGGUGUUCGUGGAGGACGAUGGGAAUUACUACAUAGAGCACAUCAACGAGCUGGAUGGGAUUAUUCACAAGAGGAAUUUUCUUAUUCGGUGUUUAACAGAAUCUCUAGAUCAUCCUGACACGGUGGCACUACUGGCUGAAGUUAGGAGCAGUCCUUAUGGGUUGUAUACAGAAGGCUGAUUCCUGAUUUUUGUUCCUCUCUUUACUUGUUAUGUUUCUUUGUGGUUUUGUAGUGAUGAUCCACAGGCUUGUUGUGGAGAUCCUCUUUUGAUGUACUGUUGGCUAAGGCCAUUCUCUUUGAACUCGUUUGUAUGACGAUUUCUCUUUAUUGCAUCUUGGUCUCAAAAGUUUAUCCACGGCUCGAUCUUCUUGUACUGUUCAUCUGAUGUGAGACUGGAAUUAAGGGGUAGAGUACCCUUUGGAAUUGAUAAACAUGUCAUUGCAUUUGCACAUUCAUUAGCAUGUCUUGCAUAACAGGUACCGCCGCAAUGUUCUCAUUUUGUUUGAUAUUCCACUAGUAGGAUAGCUGACUCAGGCAUUCACCGGUACGGUACCCGCAGGAAUCAACAAAGAGCAAUGGAAGGCCUACAAGAAGAGCUUGUUGAGAUGAGGAUUUGCAUGAAUCAGUUCAUGGACGUGGUCCAAGGAGUGGCUCAGGGACAGCAGAAGCUCAGACAGAUGAUACAGAGGAAUCCCCCUACUACUCAACCAGAGAUGGUGAUUGAUCCUCCAGCUGGAGAGACCAAUGGACCCAAUAGACCGGGGCCUAUCCCUAUCCCACGUGUCAACCCUGAUCAACAACCCAUUCAUGAUGAUCAAGAGGAUCAGUUCACUCUGCUUCAAGAGGACUUUGGCAUGGGCCAUGGCAUGGACCUUAUGUUUAGGAGGUUGGAGGAGAGGUUGAAGGUUGUGGAAGGGCAGAAUGCUCUUGGUGUGGACGUUGCUGACUUGGGGCUGGUCCCAGGCGUGAGAGUUCCACCAAAGUUCAGAGUCCCAGUCUUUGACAAAUAUAAUGGCAACUCUUGCCCGAAGAGUCACGUGCAAGCUUACUUCCGCAAGAUGGUUGUGUAUUCUGAUGAUGAGAAGCUGCUCAUGUACUUCUUCCAGGACAGUCUAGCUAGGGCAUCCUUGGAAUGGUAUAUGAGGCUGGAUAGAGCCCAUAUUUGCUGCUGGAGAGAUUUGGCUGAGGCUUUUGUGAAGCAGUAUCAGUACAAUGUUGAUAUGGCACCUCACAAGACUCAACUCCAGAAUCUGUCUCUCAAGAGCAAUGAGUGCUUCAGAGAAUAUGCUCAACGCUGGAGAGAGACAACUUCCUGUGUUCAACCUCCGAUGAUGGAGAAGGAGAUGGCCAACAUGUUCAUGAACACACUUCCCGGGUCUUACUUGGAGCGUCUGGUGGGUUGCAACGCCUCCAAUUUCGCUGAUGUGGUCUCUACCGGUGAGAGGGUGGAGAACUACUUGAAGACGUGCAAGAUCCAAAGUGGGGUUGGAUCAUCAUUAGGGGCGAAGAAGCCGUUCAUACAGGGAUAAAAGAGGAGAGAAGGGGAUUGAAAUUCAAUAUCUUCUUAUCAGAACAGGGGUAACCGGAGGAACAGUUUUCAGAACUACCAUCAACAACCUUAUGUUGCAGUUGUGACCAUUUUGGCUGCAGCACCAGUGCAACAACAAUAACCUCAGCGUCAACAAACUCAAUACCAACAACCACAGGGUAACAGAGCUGCCUACCAACAGGGACAGAGGAUGUUGGACAGGCGUUUCGACACUCUUCGGAUGUUGCAUGCCCAGUUGUUUCCCAGCCUUCAACAGCUACAACUUGUGCAGAUACACACUUUGACUCCUCCUAUUGGCAGGCUUCCAGUGGGUUAUGACGCCAAUGCUAGGUGUAAUUUCCACUCUGGGGCACCUGGCUACUUUAUUGAGAACUGCAAAGCUUUUAAGCACACAGUUCAGGACCUUAUUGAUUCGAAGACCAUCAACUUUGUGCCAGCUCCUAAUGUUGUCAACAAUCCCUUGCCGCAACAUGGUGGUGCAAACGUUAACAUGGUGGAAGGAGAAUUCAAAGUCGUCAAGGAUGUGUUGAAGCUGAAGACACCGCUGUUGGAAAUCAAAGAAUACUUGUUGAAGGCAGAUGUUUUCCCCGGUUGUGGGAGCGGCUAUUUGGGUUGUACUGUACAGAGUGGGGGUUGUGUGAGGCUGGAGCAGGGUAUUCAGGCCUUGCUCGACGAUGGUAUCCACCAAGCUGAAGACCUAUCUGCCCAAAGGUCUAUUGAAGGGGUUGUUGUAGGGGAUGUUGAAGAGAAUGCUGAUGUUGAUCCUCUCUUUCCUGAAGAUGCCGUGGAUGCUAAAGAAUUUACAAAUGUUGUUCCUGCUGAUUUUGUAAUCCCUAGUGAUGUAAUUAAUUCUUCAGAUGUUGUUGUUGAUAUUCCAAACAAUGUAUUUAAUUAUGAUGUAUUUGUUGAGCCUGAUUCCGAUGUUUCGGAUGCUUGCAUUUCAAUGAAUAAGAUUUCUAAGUAUGACUGUGAUGUUGCCACUAUCACAAUUUUCUACCCAACUGCUUAGAUCAGUGUGCCAGUAGCGCAACCGGUGCCACCAGUGCGACCAUCCACUAUGACCAUCACGACCCCUGGUCCUUUACCUUUCACCAGCGAAAGGGCCAUUCCUUGGCAUUAUGGGGGGAGUGUGUACACGCAUGAUCAUGGAGUGGAGCAGCCACUGAAAAUAGAAGAGGUGCAGGAUCAGAGGUCUGAACCUGGAGUUGAGGUAAAAGAUCCCGCAGUGGACAAUAUUGGUGGAAUCGGGCGAUUCACCAGAAGUGGUAGACUAUUCUCACCACCGGUUACCCAACUUGAUAGUGCUGAUGCCGCGGCGAAGGCCAAAGGCAAGCAAGUUGUGAAUGAGGGUACCUCUGCACCACAGGCUGGCUCUGACCCUACUUUUGCGAAGGAUGUGGACGAGCUCUUGAGAAUCAUAGAGAAAAGUGACUACAAGGUAGUCGAUCAGUUGAUUCAGACGUCGUCCAAGAUAUCUAUUCUAUCACUCCUGCUGUGUUUGGAGGCACACAGGGAGGCAUUGUUGAAGGUCCUUAAUGCUGCAUAUGUGCCUCAGGAGAUCUCAGUGAACCAACUGGAAGGGAUCAUUGCAAAUGUUCAUGCGAGCAACAGGUUGGGUUUUACUGAUUCUGACUUGACACCAGCUGGACGCAAUCAUAACAAGGCUUUGCACAUCUCGAUGGAAUGCAAAGACACCGUGUUAUCCCAUGUUCUGGUGGAUACAGGUUCCUCUCUCAAUGUGUUACCCAAGAGAGCCCUGUCAAGGUUAGAUGUAGAAGGUUUGAUCUUGAAGCCUUCCGAUCUUGUUGCGAGAGCCUUCGGUGGUUCUAAGAGGUCGGUGUUCAGAGAGGUAGAAUUGCCAAUUUAGAUUGGAUCACAAACCUUCAACACUGUCUUCUAUGUGAUGGAUAUCAGUCCUUCGUAUAGCUGCUUGUUGGGUCGUCCUUGGAUCCACAAUGUUGGGGCAGUCUCCUCGACCUUGCAUCAGAAGAUCAAGUUCCCGGUCAACAAACGAAUUAACACUGUCUGUGGUGAGGAGGAUAUUCUAGUCAGUCACUUGUCUACAUUCAAGUAUGUAGAGGUAGAAGGUGAGAUUCAUGAGACCCUGUGUCAGGCCUUUGAGGCAGUUCAAGUCAAGGAUGCAGCUCCGGUGGAAGAGGUUAAAGUAGGUGCCUCUAUUUCGUCCUUUAAGCAGGCGCAGGCCUUGGUAAAUUCAGGUGUUGCUCCCGGUUGGGGACGUCUGUUGGAUUUACAUGUAAAGGAAGACAAGUUCGGGAUUGGGUAUCAGCCAACAUUGACUUCUACAACUUCAACGUCUUAGACUCGUCAGGGGCCGAUUACUUUCUCCAGUGCUGGCAUCAUUCAGUAUGGCCAGGUCUCUGCAAUCAACAAAGAAGAUGAAGAUAGUGAUUGCGACAUAGACAACUGGGUGCAUCCAAGGGUCCCGGGUGAAGUUCUCCGCAAUUGGUCUUCUGAAGAGAUUAUCCAAGUCACUCUUCUUGAAGAGUAAUUUUCUUUGUUUGUUUGUGCAUAUCCAAGUCUUACAUUCCGCCCAGGGCGUAAUGACUCAUUGUAGGGCUCAUCUAUGUGAAUACCUGCAUUUUUUAUCAUAAAUAAAGGACGUCUUUUUGCAUUCAAAUAUUUUGUUCACUGUAUCAUUGUAGGGCUCAUCUAUGUGAAUACCUGCAUUUUUUAUCAUAAAUAAAGGACGUCUUUUUGCAUUCAAAUAUUUUGUUCACUGUCUUUCUAUUUUUGCAGUUUUCAAAAAUCAAAAAAUAUUUGGCAAUGUUUUGUUUAGUUUUCACUCAUUAUUCACACUCAUAAGCACAUACCAUCACUCAUGCAGCUGCACGUCACCGGAUCCUAUUGAUAACAGUUCUACUAUGGCUCGCUUCGACUUUGAAAAUCCAAUCUUUCAAGCUGAAGAAGAGGGUGGUGAAGACUGUGAACUCCCUGAAGAACUUGCCAGGUUGUUAAAACAGGAGGAAAGGGUCAUUCAACCGUAUCAAGAGUCAAUUGAAGUGAUUAAUCUUGGCACCGAGGAUGUCAAGAGAGAAAUCAAGAUAGGGGUUGCUUUGGAAGAUAAUGUGAAGAAGGGGCUAAUUGAACUGCUGCAAGAGUAUGUUGACAUUUUCGCUUGGUCUUAUCAGGAUAUUCCAGGGCUUGACACAGAUAUUGUGGUACACCGUUUGCCUCUCAAAGAGGAUUGUCCUCCGGUCAAGCAGAAGCUCAGAAGAACAAGACUAGAGAUGACUGUCAAGAUAAAGGAAGAAGUGCAAAAAUAGUUGGAUGCAGGGUUUCUAGCGGUUACAAAUUAUCCGCCAUGGGUUGCAAAUAUCGUUCCAGUACCUAAGAAGGAUGGAAAGG